UNCCAUCCUACCUACAUGUGUUAGCUGGU
rnacentral:piRNA from 1 species